rnacentral:rRNA from 1 species
UACGGGGGGAGCAAGCGUUGUUCGGAUUUACUGGGCGUAAAGGGCGCGUAGGCGGCACCGCAAGUCGACUGUGAAAUCUCCGGGCUUAACUCGGAAAGGUCAGCCGAUACUGCGGGGCUAGAGUGCAGAAGGGGCAACUGGAAUUCUCGGUGUAGCGGUGAAAUGCGUAGAUAUCGAGAGGAACACCUGCGGCGAAGGCGGGUUGCUGGGCUGACACUGACUGAAGCGCGAAAGCUAGGGGAGCGAACGG